GGAAUUAAUAACAUGAGAGAUAAUUGAGAAACAAAAAUCACAAGGGUAAAUAAAAACUCCACAAGGGGGGAAAACUAAACUAGAGCAUGUGGACAAUCAAAUAACGAAGAAAACCUUACUUGAGGUAGCUUGGAAAGACUUGGAAGGACUUGGAAAUUAAAAUCAGGUAGCACGCAGCCUGGACUCAAAAACCAAGUGUUAAACACAGGGAAAGACUCAGCUAAAAUACUAUUAGAGAAACAAGGCACAGGUGACCUGGAUAAUGCUAACAAGAGUAGACAAAGAAGAAUUAAGACAAGGGAACACAGGGGACCUCUAGGGGCACUGAGACAAACUACAGGAGGUCAAAUGCUGACAGUUUGUGUAUGUUUUUUAUUUUUUAUUUUUUUUACUAUCAAAGUCAU